GGGAGAGGGCAGGAUCCUAGGCUGUGUCUGCCCGGCGCCCUGGGCUCCAGGGCCUGUGCUGCUGGAAUCGCGCACCCGGGCCUGCGGCUCCU
rnacentral:pre_miRNA from 1 species